rnacentral:lncRNA from 1 species
UUUAGGCUAGGUGUUGGCUGAAGUGAAAGUUGAUUGGUCUAAACUACACUAGCCCAAGAUAAUGGGAAAAGGCCAGAAGACAUUGUUUGAAUUCUGUCAUCAGUAUCAGCAUUGCAACUGUGACCAUCUGGAUCCAGUGCCCUUUCUAACUCCUAUAAUGACUCAUUUGUUUAGCUAUUGGUGAAUAUUGCUGGGGCUCUUGAGUCAUUUCGCCCUGUCCAAGACUUCAGUGCUUUUCCUGUGUCAAAGGGUUCAGAGUGCCGCUCACCUCUCCCCUGCUCUGGAGUUCCAUACACAGUGAUCAUUAGGUUAAUGAGAAGCAGAGUAAAGCUCUGUUAGUCGGGGCAGGGUCCUUAUAACUUGCUAUAUGCCUAGAAGAAUGUGGUUUAGGUCUGAGGCCAAAGCGAGUUCCUGUCUUUCCCCAUUGAAUUGAAGACAGCCAGACCCACUGUAUAGAUUGGAAGUUAUUACCUGGGCAGGUGGGCACAGCCUUAACACAGGGAGAGAGGAGAGAGGAGUGGAGAUAGAAUACACCCUUUCUCAUAUAUCUGGUGGUUUGUGGCACUGGAAACACUAUAAUGUGUGCUGUUUGUCAAUGCCGGGACCAUGCGUAAGUGUGAAAGGCCCUCUGAUAGUGGUCAUGCUCUGUCCAGUCAUGGUAGCUCCUCUCCCUGGGGGAGGGGUAACUAGAGGCUAGAUGUUUCCCCUCCAGCCCUUCCUGACUGGGAAAAUAAUUGGGAAAUCCCUCCUUCCUCACUAAAGCCCUAUCAUUGGUUAGAAAACUCUGAAUGUCUGAACUAGAAUUAGGUUCCAUUAUGUUGAAUAGUACUGCAUAGAGGACACAUUUUCACCUCUCUUAUAACCUAGUUCACUUAUAAGCCAAUUUUAAAUCAAGGUUCCUUUGUGAGGAAUGGAGAUUCUGGUGGUCAUUAUGACUACAUUUCUCUUGUGAAUGUCCCUCUUAAAUAAUAUUUAAUAUAAAAAUAUUCUUAGAAGACCUCACUAGGCUUUUGACAUUAGAUAGACCUUGUAUAUUAUGUAUUGCAUGGAUUAGGACCCAUAUACAAUUGAAAUCCUCAGUGUGUUCAACCUGUAGAGGCCUGGAUUUGAGAUGGUGGCCCUGAGUAUCUGGUAGUUGUCGUGUGUUUGUGUGCUUAGGGAAUAGAAGUGCUGCUUUCCUGUAGCUUAGACCCAGGAGCGGCCGUGCAUGAAAGGUAUAAGGGCGGAAGUGUCAGCCUCAUUUUCCAUACCAGCAUUACUUUCACAGCUCAUGGAUCUGAAGGAUUGCAUUUAGAACAUCUGGUCCUAUUGCAUUCUCAGAAACUGUGGUAAAAGUCACAUUCUUAAAACUUCGUGCAGCUUGUGUUCUUGUUGGAAAUUAGUCCUGUCAUUUCUUAAUUGUCUUCAUACCGUCCAUAUUUAAAGAACAUUACCGUCCUCUCUGUAUUUAAAUAAUUAGAUGUAGUUCAGUGAAGAAGACUAAGGAAUUUGAAAUCAAUUUUAUGGUAUUUUGAAAUUGAAAUACUCCCUAACAUGUCAAUAUUCAGAAAAUGUUAUCUCAAAUUUUUCUACUACUCAGGUGCAUAAUCUGAUAAAACUUUUUGUUUGUUUACUUUAAUGUAAUUUUUGCUGUUUUCUGUUUUGAACCUCAUUACAAUUUGUAUGUCUUUUAUAAAAAUUUUUUUCUUAUUUGGAAAGUAUAAACUUGGACAUCUCAAAAGUAAAAUGUGGAAUCAUUGGCUGAUUACAGAGACCAGGCGCCUAGGGGAAGUUCAGUGAGUAAUUUUUUCUUGACUGAGUUCCAUCCUAGAGUGUGCAGAUUCAAUAGAGUUCUCCUAGGAGGUGGACUAUAUCAAGAUCUAGCUUGUGUAGAUCUGAGACUAUUGCCUCGAAGAUUCAAAUCUGCUCUAGCAGUGGCUCCACAGUUUGAGUGAAAACUGGGGAGAGACAUGCAAAAGCAUCACUAGAUACCAUCUUUCUUCCUAAUUUUAUGUGUUCAUAGUUUCCUUAUAGUUGAUGGGUAUACAACUUGGGACGUGUUUGUACCAACCAGCAGGCGUUCUAGCAAACCAACAAUACAUUGAUGUGUGAGCUGAAUUGAUUAAGCCCUCAUUCUCUUGAUAAACUAUUUCUUCAGAGCAUUUAUUUGAAACUCGUAUUUCCUGCUGAAACAACGUUUCAUGGUGCCAUGCCCUUAUAUCCAGAAGAAAAUUUUUCACAGAAGAAAAUGAUUUGAGGCCAAACACAACUGGAAAUGCAUCUUUUAGACAUGACCUUAGAGUAUCGUUGGAAAUUAUUUGGUUUGAAUUUGGUCUAUUUAUAUCUUCAUGGAUUAUGUAGCAGGGCUAUUAAUAAUGUUUAAACCUCGUAUUUCACUAGAGUGGUGAGACUUUUUAUUCCUUUUCAAUUAGUGUUUUUGUCUUAACUAUUAUAUGAUCAUAUUCAUGCUAAUUAUAAUACAGAUGAACUGUUUUUAAUGCCAGUAUGAAGGAUUAAGAACAACAUUCAAUUAAUUGAUAUGUCAGGCUUUAUUGUGUGUGGUAAAAUUUCAGGGGAUGUGAUUUGAUCUAGAAUCUAUCCAAAUCCUUAUAAUUAUGAGGUUUAGUUGUGACAGGAUUCUAUUAUUUUUAACCACGAGUAGUGUUUGUUUCUCCCUAUGUUAAGAAUGUUAAUAUUUUGGAUUUUAAGUGUCCAGGUUAUAAGCAGGAUUUACCUAUGCAAGAUAAAAACUGUGCAACAUUUUUAUGAAAAUUAAAAGUAUUGUUUUAAGAGGGAGACCCUCUGAAUGUUUCUAUAUGCAAGUGCCUAGUUGAAGAACCAUAGAAACAAUAAACUUAAAAGCUCUUAAAUAAGUAAACUAUAACUGAUUGAAUAUUAACCAAAUAUAAAGCAGGAAUAACUUACAUUACUUUUUGGUUGCUAUAACUAAUACCCUAAAAACUAAGAGGUGUGAAUAGGGGAAAAAAACGAAUGUUUAAUUGACAUGGAAAUUGAUUUUUAUUACAUUUGCAUCUAUUUUCUAAGAUUGCCAAUUAGAAUUAAAAAAAAAAAACUAACAUAGACCUUAUGGCACUUAAGCCCCAAAUACUUUGUA